CAACCCUUUCGACCAUCACCUCUCUUAACCAAUACAUGCCUUUAACCCGACAACAAAAGAGAGAUCUUAACAUCACAGAUUUGGCGGCAUAUACUAUGGCAUCUGAGGAGGUAAUCAAUGCUAAAUUCGAAGCCUUCGAGGCGCGAAUGGAGGAUAAGAUUCAGACGCUCUUUACCGAACUCAGAUUGGGCCGACCACUAAGCACGAAGAAAUC
rnacentral:lncRNA from 1 species